rnacentral:tRNA from 1 species
AGAAACUUAGGAUUAACUAAACCAAGGGCCUUCAAAGCCCAAAACAUGAGUUCAACCCUCAUAGUUUUUG